rnacentral:rRNA from 1 species
CGCAGCCGCGGUAAUUCCAGCUCCAAUAGCGUAUAUUAAAGUUGUUGCAGUUAAAAAGCUCGUAGUUGAAUUUCGGGGUCAGCAGGUUGGUCGUGCCUCUGGUACGCACUGGUUUCGCUGAUUCCUCCUUUCUGAAGAACUGUAAUGUCAUUAAUUUGGUGUUGCAGGGAAACAGGACUGUUACUUUGAAAAAAUUAGAGUGUUUAAAGCAAGCUAACGCUUGAAUACAUUAGCAUGGAAUAAUGAAAUAGGACGUUUGAUCCUAUUUUGUUGGUUUCUAGGAUUGACGUAAUGAUUAAUAGGGAUAGUUGGGGGCAUUAGUAUUCAAUUGUCAGAGGUGAAAUUCUUGGAUUUAUUGAAGACUAACUACUGCGAAAGCAUUUGCCAAGGAUGUUUUCAUUAAUCAAGAACGAAAGUUAGGGGAUCGAAGACGAUCAGAUACCGUCGUAGUCUUAACCAUAAACUAUGCCGAGCUAGGGAUAGGGGGAUGUUAAUUUUUUAAUGACUCA